rnacentral:rRNA from 1 species
UACGGAGGGGGCUAGCGUUGUUCGGAAUUACUGGGCGUAAAGCGCACGUAGGCGGCUUUGUAAGUUAGAGGUGAAAGCCCAGGGCUUAACCCUGGAAUUGCCUUUAAGACUGCAUCGCUCGAAUUGUGGAGAGGUGAGUGGAAUUCCGAGUGUAGAGGUGAAAUUCGUAGAUAUUGGGAAGAACACCGGUGGCGAAGGCGGCUCACUGGCUCAUUACUGACGCUCAGGCGCGAUAGCGUGGGGAGCAAACAGG